UGUUGGGUCUUGCGCAAUAGGAACUCAUGAACUCCGCCAGGUCCGGAAGGGAGCAACGGUAAGUGAUCAUUUCUAUGUGCCGCAAGGGUGCCUGAUUAUU
rnacentral:SRP_RNA from 1 species